rnacentral:lncRNA from 1 species
GCUCCUUCCAACCCAUCCAAUCCACCCAGCAAUGUAAAGGAACAAGAAUCCAGGAGUAAUGAACUCACCCCAAUGCCUCUGGUCACCACUCACAAUCAAAUGAGGCAAGCCAUCAGCACCACAAAGAAGCCCUUGUUUCCCAUAGAAGGCAAAUCGCCUCUUUGUCUUUUCGAUCGUGGCUUUGAUGGCAAGCGCCGGGGCGCUAUCCGGGGCGUAGUUCUUCAAAGAAGACUCAAGUUUCUUGAUCUGCUGCUUCUCCCUCUUGGCGAAUUGCUUGGAUUCCUUGCAGGGGGUGAGACCGGAGAUGUCGGCGACGGCGGGGAGAGGAGCGGAGAGGAGGAUGGAGGAGAGAGCCAAGGCAGCGGAGAAGGCUUGAAGAGAGGAAGAGGUGUUUUGGUUUUGAUUUUGGGAGGCGGAGCAGAGAAUAGAUGAGGAGGGUUUUGGCUUCAAGGCGAGUGGGGAGCUAAAUUUGGGCUUCAAGAGGGGUUUUGAGAGGUUAGUGGGGAUUGUGAGAGACAUUGUUGAAAUGGGUUCGAAG